UACGUAGGGGGGCAAGCGUUGUCCGGAAUCAUUGGGCGUAAAGCGCGCGUAGGCGGCCCGGUAAGUCCGUUGUGAAAGUCAAAGGCUCAACCUUUGAACGCCGAUGGAUACUGCCGGGCUAGAGUCCGGAAGAGGCGAGUGGAAUUCCUGGUGUAGCGGUGGGAAUGCGCAGAUAUCAGGAGGAACACCAAUAGCGAAGGCAGCUCGCUGGGACGGUACUGACGCUGAGGCGCGAAAGCGUGGGGAGCGAACGGG
rnacentral:rRNA from 1 species